rnacentral:rRNA from 1 species
UACGGAGGGCUCAAGCGUUGUUCGGAUUCAUUGGGCGUAAAGGGUGUGUAGGUGGCGCGGUAAGUCGGGUGUGAAAUCUCGGAGCUUAACUCCGAAAUUGCAUUCGAUACUGCCGUGCUCGAGGACUGGAGAGGAGACUGGAAUUCAUGGUGUAGCAGUGAAAUGCGUAGAGAUCAUGAGGAAGACCAGUGGCGAAGGCGGGUCUCUGGACAGUUCCUGACACUGAGGCACGAAGGCCAGGGGAGCAAACGGG